AGGCAAUGCCAUUACAAUUGAACAAAAACUUAAGGAAAGGUAAAACAGGGAGCCGAUGACAACAAGGAUUAAUGGGACUAAAAACAAUUGGCUUAAGGAAGUUAGGGCACGAUAAGGGUGAAGUUGGACAGAUAAUUAGUAUAAAGGACCAGAAGGGGCAUGGGAUAACUGGAGAAGGUAUAAGGCGAUCCUCUCAUUCUCAACUACAUGAUUUUUUGAAAGUUGUUGGGUUAAAUCCUCAACUUUGGCUUCCAGUUGCUUGACCUUGUCACACAAUAAUUUAUUUUUAGCACAAAGACCCUCAUUUUGACUUGAUCCCUCUUCAUGACCCUUCUCAUUUGCAGCCUUCAAAGUAACAAUCUCAAUAUAUUUUUAUGCUAAAAUAACAGUCAUAUCUUCCAAUUUCCCUUUUAACCUGCUCUGCACUUAGAUCAAAUUAGCUACCAUAGAUUUUGACUUUACACCACUUCGCUUGGGAAUGCACUCCUUAGCUUUCAAUGUGGACACUAUGAACAUUUGCUUCACUGAUUAAUCCUUUCCAGAUAGGACUUUAAAAUAUGCAAACACCCUACUCAACCAAAACCCAUAAGCUAAGCCAUGUUUACCAUCUUUGCCCAUCAUAACUUUAUGCAUGUGUUUAAUGAUUAAAGCCGGAAGUUUCCACGCUUAAACUUAGACAAGGCUUCCAUAAGGAACUUACCGGCACCUGUAAUAGUUGUUCAUUUCUCAAUUCUGGAAAGUAGGGAUUUGUUAACUAAUUCAAAUAGGAGUUGAAAUUCUUCUUUAAAGGACUUUUUUGUCAAAUUCUUAAUAUUUAAAUUACCUAGCUUGCCACAGACCUCCAAAAACUUUGCAAACCACCUUUUAUCCUUCAAGGACCUGCUCUCUUCAAUGGGUAUGCCUAACACUGACCUAGUCCCUUCAGUGGGUAUGCCUAACACCUCUCCUAACACUUACUCAUCUAGAUAAAUAUUCAUAUCAUGAUCUUGGGUUGUCACAAACAGGGAAUCAUCUUAUUAAGUAAGGUUGUAAUAAAAUAUUCCUAUCUUUUUUUCAUGUAGAACAGGAAUUGGAGGCUCAAAUAAAUACUCCCAACUUUGGAACUUGAACAUCUCAAUUAGAUCAGCCAUGCCAUGUAUGAAAGCAUUCUAAAGAUCGGACAUUCUUCCUCUUAAGACUUCUUGGGUCUUAAGAGUUUUUUUCUCUCUUCUCUUAACAAUAUUUUUCCUUUUUCUUUGGAUGUGGAGGCUUUAACACCGGGACCAGUUCCUUUAACUAAGACUCCAAUAGCUUUUGAAGUCUUGUUAGUUUUGGAGCUGGGACCUAGUCCCUUAGAGUCGGUUGUCUCCCCCCUUUUUUCUUUUUCUCCACCAGUAGAUACUGGUUUUUUUAUUAGUAUUCCUUUGGCCUUUCCCUUCUCGGGUGAAACAACAACACCAUUCUAUGCCUUGGCCUCCAUAGAUUCCACACUCCUGUCAAUAUCCUCAUCACUCUCAUCAGUAAACAUAUCAUCAAAAUUACUAUCUCUCUCAUUUUUACUCUCAGUUUUCUCAUAUUCAUCCAUAUGCAUCACCUUUUCAGUGGGUACCUCGAUCUUAAUAACUGCUUUCUUCUUUAUACUUUUCCUCUUUUGAGUAUUAUGUUUGUUCUCAACAAGUGCAUCCUCCAUCAAUUUCUUGAAUCUUGACCUGGUCACAUGAGUCUUACCUGUCUUAGAUAGAAACCUUGUAGUGGAAAAUACCCUUUGGGUAGUCAUUUUCUCCAUGACAAGGCCUUGUCAUCAUCACUAUUAGUGUUGACUUUUUAUUUCUCACCUAUGUUAGGUAGAUUGAGAACAUGGGCCAAGACAAUAACAUCUUUCUUAACAGCCUCAAGAGGAUCAUUUUGUCUCUAGUAGAUAGGGACCCAGGUGUAUUAUCCGGAGGAUCUUUGCUUAGAGCUGUCAAACCUUAAAUUACCAUAUCCUCACUCACUACUAGGAUAUUGAGGGCAUUCCUUUUUUCUUAGAGUGAUCACCAUCAAACAUUUUUUAAUCUACAACAUGGAUUUCUAGGUUGCUUAAAAAAAUAGACUUUUCAAGACUUUUCUGAGCCUCUUUCAAAAGGUGUAAAGACGAUUGGAAAAGGAAUGGAUGGAGUAUUCUCAUCACCUCUUACUUGAGAAGAGGAUGAAGAAAUGUUCUUUUCUGAGAAGUUGAUAGGCUAACAUCACAAGGAAGUGAUGGGUGAGUGAAUUUGAUUAUGGAAAAUAGGUUGUGUAAAUUGAAAUCAAUAGGGGGGAUGGAGGAGAAGCGAUUGAAAGGGGUGUAUAUUCAUUUGGAGACAGUGAUGAUGAAGAUGGGUUAGACAUGGUGAUCGACUUUUAACUGUUAAGUAUUUAGAAGAAUGUGAAGUGUAAGAAAGAGAGUUAGGGAACUGAUAUAGUUGGAAUUUGGUUUAAAUAGAGAAAGAAAAAAU
rnacentral:lncRNA from 1 species